rnacentral:tRNA from 1 species
AUUUAAAUAACUUAAAAUUUAGAGUGUUAUAUUGAAGAUAUAAAAGUGAUAGUUAAUCUUUAAAUA